rnacentral:rRNA from 1 species
GCUUGUCUCAAAGAUUAAGCCAUGCAUGUCUAAGUAUAAACGACUUUAUACUGUGAAACUGCGAAUGGCUCAUUAUAUCAGUUAUAGUUUAUUUGAUGGUCCUUGCUACUUGGAUAACCGUAGUAAUUCUAGAGCUAAUACAUGCUAAAAAUCCCGACUUCGGAAGGGAUGUAUUUAUUAGAUUAAAAACCAAUGCCCUUCGGGGCUCACUGGUGAUUCAUGAUAACUUCACGGAUCGCACGGCCUUGCGCCGGCGAUGGUUCAUUCAAAUUUCUUCCCUAUCAACUUUCGAU